rnacentral:rRNA from 1 species
UACGUAGGGUGCAAGCGUUGUCCGGAAUUAUUGGGCGUAAAGAGCUCGUAGGCGGUUUGUCGCGUCUGCUGUGAAAAUCCAGGGCUUAACCCUGGACCUGCAGUGGGUACGGGCAGACUGGAGUGCGGUAGGGGAGAUCGGAAUUCCUGGUGUAGCGGUGAAAUGCGCAGAUAUCAGGAGGAACACCGGUGGCGAAGGCGGAUCUCUGGGCCAUUACUGACGCUGAGGAGCGAAAGCGUGGGGAGCGAACAGG